rnacentral:rRNA from 1 species
GACGAACGCUGGCGGCGUGCCUAAUACAUGCAAGUUGAGCGCUGAAGGUUGGUACUUGUACCAACUGGAUGAGCAGCGAACGGGUGAGUAACGCGUGGGGAAUCUGCCUUUGAGCGGGGGACAACAUUUGGAAACGAAUGCUAAUACCGCAUAAAAACUUUAAACACAAGUUUUAAGUUUGAAAGAUGCCAUUGCAUCACUCAAAGAUGAUCCCGCGUUGUAUUAGCUAGUUGGUGAGGUAAAGGCUCACCAAGGCGGUGAUACAUAGCCGACCUGAGAGGGUGAUCGGCCACAUUGGGACUGGGAAACGGCCCAAACUCCUACGGGGAGGAGCAGGAGGGAAACUUCGGCCAUGGGGGGAAAUCCGACCGAAGACAGCCGCCGGAGAGGAGAAGGGUUUCGGGUCGGAAAAGUAUGUUGGUAGGGAAGAAAGUUGGUGAGAGUGGAAAGCUCAUCAAGUGACGGUAACUACCCAAGAAGGAACGGCUAACUACGUG